CCACUUAUAUAUAUUAGAUUUAAUGCUAAAGCAAAGACUUUUUGGUGAGUCAAAUCAAAAAUUAGUUUAUCUUCACCUCUAUCUUUUAAGUUAUCUUUAUUUCUACCUUUCAAAUACAUGCUUUAGUUUCUAGUAGGAUUCUAAUUUAUCUGUAGGAGUAAAAAUAGAAUACUUCAUAGUCCUAGCUAUAUCCUAUCUUUCUUCUUUCCAAUAGAAGGCGUGAUAAUAAUAAAAGUCCUUAAAGGUCAAGAUAUCUAGAUACAUGCUACCAUCAUUAUUCUCUUUAUUCUAUCAUCUUUUUGGCU
rnacentral:lncRNA from 1 species